rnacentral:misc_RNA from 1 species
AAGUACUCCCUUCAUCCCAAAAUAUAAGGUAUUUUGGGUGGAUGUGACACAUUCUAGUACUACGAAUCUGGAUACGAAGCCUAGGAUGUGUCACGUCCACCCAAAAUCUUUUAUAUUUUGGGACGGAAGGGUAUUAACUA